rnacentral:tRNA from 1 species
GCCCCAGAAGCUCGACGGCCGAGCAGCCGCCUCUAAAGCGGCCAUAAACGGGUUCGACUCCCGCCUGGGGCA